GCGCCCCGCAGGAGCCUCCUCCUCCCGCCGGCGCGGCGCCUGUGCCCUGGUCCCGGUGUCCCCGCUCGGUGCCACCGAAGGAUCUAGGGGCUCGGGCCGGGGAGGGGGUGGAGGGGGGAGUGGAGGCGCGAUACGAACCCGUGGGAGCCUCCCCAACCCCGCAGUCCCAGCGGCAAACUGUGCUUGGUCGGACGGAUGCCCGCGCGGAGCCACCAGCCUCUGAGACAGCGCUGGACCCCAAGACUCUGCAGGAUUCGCCUCAGUGCAGAGGCUCUGGAUUCUCUGGCUCUGAGGCGAGAUGGGAGCUGUCCUCCCAGUGGUGCUGAAACUCGGGCUGCCUCCGUUGGGGUCACCGACAGAGGCUCACUUGUUCAGGCACUUCCUGGGUCAGCCUUUCCGCCUCUGAGACGGGCUCUCCCAUCUCAGAUGGGAGAUUCUGCCUGGAAGGGAAGUAGUCCACGCCAUCAUCAUUCCCCGAAACCUUAAUAGCCACCUAACUGGAUUCACCACUUCUCGUCUUGCCUCCUCAAUUCAUUCUCCGCUCAGUACCCAGAGUGGUCUUUUCAAGAAGCAAAUCUGAUCCUAUGUAAAGUACUCAUAUGGUUUUCCAUAUCAUUCAGAAUAAAACUUAAACGUUCUUGCUAGAGCUAAGAUACCCCUCCCCCUCAAUGAUCUAGCCCCUGUCUGCUUCUUCCACAUUAAUCGCC
rnacentral:lncRNA from 10 species